GCAAGUUAGCCUAUAUGUGACCGGAUGAGGUUUUCCCCUCCCUCUUACCUGCACACAGGAGAGUGGCUCAGCAUACCUGGGGCUCAUUCCGAUUGAUUGGGAGAGGCAGGGACAUUAUUUAAGCCUGUGUGUGUGGACUCGUUCUGUUUGUCUUCUCCUGCUGGGUGUUUGUGGAGACGUGUCCGGGUUGGCGUGCUUUACGUUUUUGCCGCUGCCCUAGGUCGUCAGUCUGCUGCGGUGUGAGCUCACCCUGUCUGGUUGUGGAUGUCCCUGUGUGGGUGGAUGUAUGCCUGGGCUGCUGGCGUUGGGUGUCUCGUGUGGGCCGCUGUGUGUGUGCGCAAGGUGGGUGCCUCCGCCGGGGUCUGAGGGCGGCCUGUCCUGUAAUUCGCGGACCAGGCUGCAGCCUUAUACAUGCUGCUGUGGGGCUAUCAUGGUGCCACGAUUAAUUAAAGGGCCAGUAUCCCCCCGGCGCGUUCUUCCCCCAUUGAAGCUGUUCUGGAUAAUGGCAACUCUGUUCUGGAUAACGGCAACUCUGUUCUGGAUUCCGGCAAAAGCGUUCUGAGUCCGGUAAAGUCUCCUGGACACUAACACAAAAAUGGUCUGAACACAUGUAUAAAAGCAGUCUGGAUAUAUUGUAAGCUAUUAACUGUUGUAUAUAUUGCAUGUGGGUUUCUUUUUGUUUGUUUUUUUCUCUUAUUUUGGUUGAUUUGUU